rnacentral:rRNA from 1 species
CCUACGGGAGGCUGCAGUGGGGAAUAUUGGACAAUGGGGGGAACCCUGAUCCAGCCAUGCCGCGUGUGUGAAGAAGGCCCUCGGGUUGUAAAGCACUUUCAGUGAGGAAGAACGCCUGGUGGUUAAUACCCAUCAGGAAAGACAUCACUCACAGAAGAAGCACCGGCUAACUCCGUGCCAGCAGCCGCGGUAAUACGGAGGGUGCGAGCGUUAAUCGGAAUUACUGGGCGUAAAGCGCGCGUAGGUGGCUUGAUAAGCCGGUUGUGAAAGCCCCGGGCUCAACCUGGGAACGGCAUCCGGAACUGUCAAGCUAGAGUGCAGGAGAGGAAGGUAGAAUUCCCGGUGUAGCGGUGAAAUGCGUAGAGAUCGGGGGGAAUACCAGUGGCGAAGGCGGCCUUCUGGACUGACACUGACACUGAGGUGCGAAAGCGUGGGUAGCAAACAGGAUUAGAUACCCUAGUAGUC